GAAUAUGCCUUCUUUUUUAUUAUUAUUAUUAUUAUUAUUAUUAUUAUUAUGAGUUACUUAGGUUUCGUUUGGAAUUGCGGAAAGAUUGUGUUACGUACGGUAAAAAAGUAUGUUGAAAAAAUACCAUAUUUGUUUCUGUACGUAAUAUUGCGUUCAACAUAUUGCAAUGAGUCGGUUACGAUAUAUUUUCUGCUGUCUCACUAAAGAAAGCAGAAGCAUAUCCCUAUGCUUUUUCCUCAACUCCAUUUUAUCUAAUAGCGUUAGAUAGACCUCAAUACCAAAUUAAGCUUUACUAUAUUCUUAUAAAUAUAGACUUUUUUGUAUUUAUAAAUUUUCAACCGUUAGAUCUACCCGUUUGACCAUUGUCACCCGUUAGAUCAUACUAUUCAACCAACCACCCAUUUAAUUCUAGGGAACCACUAUCAUCCUAACCGGAAACUAAUAUCAUUCGAUCAGCAUAUUCGUUUAUCUAAAGAUCGAAAACUUAUGAGUAUAAAGAGGUUCAUACUGACAAGAGUAUAGUAGCCCUAACCUUAUUAUUAUUACUAUUGUAUAAAAUUAUAAAUCAUUUUUCAA
rnacentral:lncRNA from 1 species